UCUGAUAUAAUAACUCUUGGUUUAUUUAUCAGUGGAGCAGCAGAACAUUUUCCACAGACAGUUUUUCUGCCCGUUGGCUUGUUUUAACCAGUUUUCUACCUUUGGCUGAUUCUACCAGCAGACACUGAAAGGACUCUGAUAGUUGGAGUGAAAGUAGCAGUUCCUCCUUAAGGUCAGAGAUUGCAGCAUCUGAGGGCCUCUUCAAAAGAAGACGUAGUUGAUGAAGGCGUUCUGGAGCAGGACCAGAAAGACCACGACCAAGCAGCCUUGAGAUCUUAGGCAGCGUCUCCCUCGGGUGGGUGUCAACGGUGUUCACGGUCAGACCAAAGAACUACAGACUCUUCACAACCUCCUCAAACUCUUGGUACAGGACUUCACCACAUGGGUCAAGAAGGUUUCCGUCUCAUUUCUACUCUGAAGAUCACCUUCUCCUGCUCAAACUGCUGACAAAUGUUUCUGCUGCUCUAAAGUCUGGUCUCCAGAACUUCCUAAAAACUCUCAAAGUCUCUUCUGCUGCAGGUUGCUUUGUAGAACUGUUCCAGAAAACCUCACUAAACCACAUGGAGGGGCCUCAAGAUAGUCGUCCAAAUGAAACCAUACAAAAACCAAACUAGCACAACCCAAACGCUAAAGUCUCCUGCAGCCUACCAGAGAACCUCUGAGAACAGAGAAUCAGGACAGGAACUCUUACCUUCUGGACAACCAACGUUGGUUCACAAACAAGAACACAGAAUGUGUCUGACCAAAAACCUCUGAAGACUCACUACAGCCAAGAUAAAGACACAACUCAGCUGCACCAAACCCACUAAUCACCACACACAUUAGCACCAUGUGCUAACUGUGGCUAAAGAACCUCAUUUACCAAGACAACUAUCCAGUACAAAGCCCUAAAACACACCAAGAAACACAUUAAAGACGAUUUUACUGCUGGAAGCUGCAAGCUAACGCCUAAAGAACAACCUAAAGCAAUGGAGCCAAACCCGGUUCACUGGUGAAGCAGAGGAAAUGUUUGAGCCAAAUAAAGCAGGAAGACACUGAGUUGCUCAGGUGUUCCUGAUAACACCAAGCAGCCACCUGGAUAGCCAAUAGGAACACCAAUAGGAAAUCUUGGUGUAAAGGAGUAUUCCACCUUAAAUGUAGACCUAAAGGAUGGUUUGGAGUAAUAUUCUACUCUAAAAUCUUCCAGUGUAGACCUAAAAGGUUGAUCUGAUGGUAUAUUCUACCCAACAUCCAAGAACAUUUACCUAAAAGGUUGGUUUAAUGGUAUAUUGCCAGAAGAACCCUUGAACAUGGGUCUUAAUGGUAUAUUCCACCCAAAAUACCAAGAAGUCAGUGUAAAGGAAAUGUAGACCCAAAAGGAUUGUUUAAAGAAAUAUUUAAACUAUUAUUUUCAUUAUUUAAUAAUCUGUUAUCAGUCAGAAACCUGGCAAACUUAUUUUCAUCAGUAUUUUUUAGUGGAAGUCACAAAUAAAGGAGCGCUUGGCUUUUCCUGGCGU
ensembl:lncRNA